rnacentral:rRNA from 1 species
GAAAAGAAAGCAAAUGCGAUUUCCCAAGUAACGGCGAGUGAACAGGAACAAGCCUAGCGCUAAGGCUCAAUAGGAUGGCUGGCAGCAAUGUUGGUCGUCGUUUUCGACAAGCUAUUGAGCGGUGCAGCGUUACAAACCAGGAUGUUUAGUCGAUUCCAUUGGUAGUUUGAACCUCGGUUCUUGCUACCCUCAGCCUAGCAUGCAAGUUCCAUUGACUUGGACUAAUUGCAAAUGACCAGGAGCUUGGGGCAACUCGAGUUUCUGGUUGAGCCAAAGUGGGUGAAAGCCCUAUACCGUGCAGGCAUUGGGAUCACGAAUUCUGGAGGAAGCCGCAAGGCGACCAAUUUGUUAGAGUCGAGUUGCUUGAGAGUGCAACUUAAAGUGCGAGGUAAACUACUCGUAAGGCUACGCAAUACGGCUACGACACCGAUAGCAAACAAGUACCGUGAGGGAAAGUUGAAAUAGAACUUUGCAGAGAGAGUUAACAGGGCGUGAAACCGUUAAUUGGCAAACGAAUCGGAGCCACGAAGUCGUUUCGCUGUUGGGCCUGGGUUCAGCUGGAUAGCUAAAAACUACCCGGUGUACUCUCAGGCUAACCAACUUUGUAAGCGUACACUGCAACCAGUUAGACGAUUGGUGAUGGGCCCAGUUGGCGGGGGUUUCGGCUCCCAUCAAUGCAGCAUCUGUCUACUCGGGUCAGUAGUAACGUGACUGGCCUUGUGCUUGUUUGCGUUGCUGGGCUCGCGGUAGGUGAACUAUCACCAAAUACUGACUGGCAAAAUGAAAAUCGCCGAAAGGCGUUACAUAGAAAGCGGUGCCUGCACUUGGUGUCACAUGCUUGACCAUGUGGUUUUAAGCUCAGCAUUUUUGAAUUUGGACUUGCUUGCUACCAGUGGGGCAACUCCUGGUGCUUGUAUAGCUUCCAUCUAAUCGGGUGUUGACUUGAUCGCAUGUCGUUCGAGCAUGCUACGAUCGGCGCCAAGUGUAAGGUAACUCGCCAACUUAUGGCAGUGAGUAG